rnacentral:rRNA from 1 species
UACGUAGGGUGCAAGCGUUAAUCGGAAUUACUGGGCGUAAAGCGUGUGUAGGCGGCCUUAUAAGUCGGAUGUGAAAGCCCAGGGCUCAACCCUGGAAGUGCACUCGAUACUGUAAGGCUCGAGUCCUGGAGAGGAAGGCGGAAUUCUCGGUGUAGAGGUGAAAUUAGUAGAUAUCGAGAGGAACAUCGGUGGCGAAGGCGGCCUUCUGGACAGUGACUGACGCUGAGACGCGAAAGCGUGGGGAGCAAACAGG